GGAAUACCCGCUGAACUUAAGCAU
rnacentral:ncRNA from 2 species